AUAUCACAUUUUCCCUCCCUUCUACAGAAAAUGAGAGAGGAUUCCCCUUAUUGUUUAAUAGAAACUUACACAAGGGAGAUUACAAUAAUGAAGCAGCAAAAACUAGAAACCGUGCAUAUCCAUCUAACCUCUGCUCUUUAUUUACAACUUCGUAUACAUAAUGAUAAUGGAAGGAUGUCCCUCUAAUCCAAGGAGAAUGCUCCGUUGCAGUACCUGUUGCUGAAUUUCUCCACCAUAUCAGAGGCAUAGAGCAGGGUUUCAUUGGCUUUCUCCAGAACCAUGUAAAGCUCUUUCCCUCUUGUGAUUCGAGAAAUAACCCAAGCAUUAUUUUUUGCUCUGAU
rnacentral:misc_RNA from 1 species